rnacentral:rRNA from 1 species
CGUAGGGUCCGAGCGUUGUCCGGAAUUAUUGGGCGUAAAGGGCUCGUAGGCGGUUUGUCGCGUCGGGAGUGAAAACACCGGGCUUAACUCGGUGCUUGCUUUCGAUACGGGCAGACUAGAGGCAUUCAGGGGAGAACGGAAUUCCUGGUGUAGCGGUGAAAUGCGCAGAUAUCAGGAGGAACACCGGUGGCGAAGGCGGUUCUCUGGGAAUGUCCUGACGCUGAGGAGCGAAAGUGUGGGGAGCGAACAGGAUUAGAUACCCUGGUAGUCCACACCGUAAACGUUGGGCGCUAGGUGUGGGGUCCAUUCCACGGAUUCCGUGCCGCAGCUAACGCAUUAAGCGCCCCGCCUGGGGAGUACGGCCGCAAGGCUA